GACGAACGCUGGCGGCGUGCUUAACACAUGCAAGUCGAACGGAAAGGCCCUGCUUUUGUGGGGUGCUCGAGUGGCGAACGGGUGAGUAACACGUGAGUAACCUGCCCUUGACUUUGGGAUAACUUCAGGAAACUGGGGCUAAUACCGGAUAGGAGCUCCUGCUGCAUGGUGGGGGUUGGAAAGUUUCGGCGGUUGGGGCUAGACUCGCGGCUUAUCAGCUUGUUGGUGGGGUAGUGGCUUACCAAGGCUUUGACGGGUAGCCGGCCUGAGAGGGUGACCGGCGACAAGGGGACUAAGGGAGGGAGCAGAAGCGUACGGGAGGCAGUAGGCGGAAGUAUGACAGAACGGGGCGGAGCGAGAGGCGACGGCCUCGGGAGCGGAAAGACCGCUUAUGAGGGAAGAACAGAUGUGGCAUGUGACGUGGAGGGAGUGACGGUAAUGGGUAAAGAAGCAACGGCUAACUACGUG
rnacentral:rRNA from 1 species